rnacentral:rRNA from 1 species
UAGGGAAUUUUGCGCAAUGGGCGAAAGCCUGACGCAGCAACACCGCGUGAGUGAUGAAGCCCUUUGGGGUGUAAAACUCUGUCAGUGGGGACGAAUUUUGACGGUACCCACAGAGGAAGCAUCGGCUAACUACGUGCCAGCAGCCGCGGUAAGACGUAGGAUGCAAGCGUUGUCCGGAUGCAUUGGGCGUAAAGCGUUCGUAGGUGGCAUAUUAAGUCUGGUGUCAAAGCCCGGGGCUCAACCCCGGAUCGGCACUGGAGACUGAUAAGCUAGAGGGCAGUAGAGGCAAGGGGAAUUCCCAGUGGAGCGGGGAAAUGCGUAGAUAUUGGGAGGAACACCAGUGGCGUAAGCGCCUUGCUGGGCUGUUACUGACGCUGAGGAACGAAAGCCAGGGGAGCAAAUG